AACGAACGCUGGCGGCAUGCCUAACACAUGCAAGUCGAACGAGCCCUUCGGGGUUAGUGGCGCACGGGUGCGUAACACGUGGGAAUCUGCCCUUCGGUUCGGAAUAACAGAGGGAAAUUUCUGCUAAUACCGGAUGAUGACGAAAGUCCAAAGAUUUAUCGCCGAAGGAUGAGCCCGCGUAGGAUUAGGUAGUUGGUGGGGUAAUGGCCUACCAAGCCGACGAUCCUUAGCUGGUCUGAGAGGAUGAUCAGCCACACUGGGACUGAGACACGGCCCAGACUCCUACGGGAGGCAGCAGUGGGGAAUAUUGGACAAUGGGCGCAAGCCUGAUCCAGCAAUGCCGCGUGAGUGAUGAAGGCCUUAGGGUUGUAAAGCUCUUUUACCCGGGAUGAUAAUGACAGUACCGGGAGAAUAAGCUCCGGCUAACUCCGUGCCAGCAGCCGCAGUAA
rnacentral:rRNA from 1 species